GACGAACGCUGGCGGCGUGCCUAAUACAUGCAAGUAGAACGCUGAAGGAGGAGCUUGCUUCUCUGGAUGAGUUGCGAACGGGUGAGUGACGCGUAUGUAACCUGCCUGGUAGCGGGGGAUAACUAUUGGAAACGAUAGCUAAUACCGCAUAACAGUAGAUAUCGCAUGAUAUCUACUUGAAAGGUGCAAUUGCAUCACUACCAGAUGGACCUGCGUUGUAUUAGCUAAUUGGUGAGGUAAAGGCUCAACAAGGCGACGAUACAUAGGCGGCCCGGGAGGGGGACUGGGCACACUGGGAAUUGGGAACCGGCCAAGACUCUAAGGGAGGGAGCAGGAGGGAAAUCUCGGCAAUGGACGGAAGGCUGACCGGGGAAAGCCGGGUGAGGGAAGAAGGUUUUCGGAUCGGAAAGCCCUGGUGUAAGGGGAGGACGAGUGGGGGAGUGGAAAGUUCACACUGUGACGGUAUCUUACCAGAAAGGGACGGCUAACUACGUG
rnacentral:rRNA from 1 species